rnacentral:rRNA from 1 species
UACGUAGGUGGCAAGCGUUGUCCGGAUUUACUGGGCGUAAAGGGCGUGCAGGCGGUCUGUUAAGUGCAGGGUGAAAGCUCCCGGCUCAACUGGGAGAGGUCCUUGCAUACUGGCGGACUUGAGGGGGGUAGAGGAAAGCGGAAUUCCGGGUGUAGCGGUGAAAUGCGUAGAUAUCCGGAGGAACACCGGUGGCGAAGGCGGCUUCCUGGACCGACACUGACGCUGAGGCGCGAAAGCUAGGGGAGCAAACGGG